rnacentral:misc_RNA from 1 species
GUGAAGAACGUAGCGAAAUGCGAUAAGUAAUGUGAAUUGCAGAAUUCAGUGAAUCAUCGAAUCUUUGAACGCACAUUGCGCUCGCCAGUAUUCUGGCGAGCAUGCCUGUUCGAGCGUCAUUUCAACCAUCAAGCUCUGCUUGCGUUGGGGAUCCGCGUCUGACGCGGUCCCUCAAAAACAGUGGCGGGCUCGCUAGUCACACCGAGCGUAGUAACUCUACAUCGCUAUGGUCGUGCGGCGGGUUCUUGCCGUAAAACCCCCAAUUUCUAAGGUUGACCUCGGAUCAGGUAGGAAUACCCGCUGAACUUAAGCAUAUCAAUAAGCGGAGGA